GGACAGAUGGCCGAGCUGGUUAUGGCGCCAGGUUAAGGUAUUUCUUAACACAGUUUCCUGGUCACGAAAGUGGCGUGGGUUCGAGUCCCACUCUGUUCA